AUCCUCUUCCAUGAGCUCCAGCUCGACGGUGGUUACUCCGUCCACGGAUUGCUGAUGGCUUCCAAGAAAUCGCUCGCUCCGACUAAUCGGUAAACUCCGACCUUUGCCCAUAUAAAUCUCUUUUUUACCUAAGAAAAGUGUAUACCCGCUUUGAUUUAUGUGUUAAAUUACCGUUAUUGAUCACCUAGUAAUAUAUUUGGAAGUGUAAGAACAAGAGAAAGAUGGAACUCUUGUAUUGUUUUGUGUAAUGAGUGAGGAUCGAGGAAGAGGAUGAGCAUGUGUGUGUGUAUAUAUAUAUAUAUAUCAAAUUGAGUCUGCAUUGCGUGUGUGGUUUUACUCAGUUAUGUUCGGUAAGAUCAAAAGAAGAUGUCAUAGUCCACAUAAAAUAGUCGACACAGUAACCAUUUAGAUAACGGCGCUACUAUUUUGUAUUUCUUUUAGCAUUUUAGACGAGAGCAAGUUAAGAUUUAUUUUUCCCAUUCUAAAAGUAAUUCAAUAAUCAUAUACAAUGUGAUGUCUUAGUUGCCGACGUACCAUCAUGCGUUCUAACAAGAUUUCUAUCGUAGCUUCAAUAUAGAGUUGUGAGACAAAUGAUGAAUAGUUUUAAUAACCAAGGAAUUUUAUAUCAAAAUCUAUAUUUAUCCAAAUAGCUAGUCUGUGAAAUGUGAUCAUAUUCUUGUCAUUUAAAACCCUUUAACAAAUUCACAGUAUUCAAGUAUAAUUAAAAUCACGGUACUAUACCAUUUAUAGAUUUGUGCACGUCCUAGACUCCUAGUAUGUACAAUAAGUCGUUAAGCUUAGCCAAGCAUACGUGAAUUAUAUACUGUAUACGGCAAAUGCUUGAGUUUACAUGAAAAUAAAAUUCGAAAUGAGAAACUAUAGUUUUUGGUAUUUUUGUAAGUAUCCGAACGAGAUGGUGCAGAUUCGACAAAAUUACAUAAACAUAUUAUUGGCUUAUUUCAUUCUCUGUAGCUGAAGGUGGGGUCUAUAUCUCCGCAUGGGAAAGCACACAAGAUAUGUCGCAGUUCAGCUGUUCGACACGUGUUCACUCAUUGCAAGCAGGUCCAUCUAAUUUUGUCUAUUAACGUUGACACGUGAUCUAAUCUGAACCCACCAAUAGGCAGAUUAAGACCGGAGUCGACGAGGGUGUUGUUGGAUUGGAGAGUGAAUGGCUAACGAUGGAGACCGACGAACUAACAAAGUCUACAUAUGUGGUCCAUCAUUGUUCUGUCCUUUCCUUCUUUUUACUUUGCCUCAAUUAUUAGCGUUUUUUAUUAUUUCGUUUUUGUUUAGUUAUUUUUUUCCUGAUCGAAUCGCAUUUUUCGUCGAAACACCAUUUAUAUUAAGUAAUCAGAAAGAGACUCUCCUCUAGGAAAAGCCAUUCAGGAACCGAUGUGCUUACAUGAGGAAAAAAAACUAUUACGUGCCCGAGUUUUUUUUUGCCAAAAAGUCAGUCCGAGCAUUGUUACACCUUGGGAGAAAUCUAAUGUUAAAAUCAGGGAAAAACAUAAAAGAGACCGGAAAGUGGCAAUCUCCGCCACGAAAGUGGGCCACUCCGACUGCUUGUCAAGAAGGGAGAUACGAUUAGCGCAAUCGGAUGCAAAGGCACAUCUUGAUUUUCCAAUCGAGAUCAUUGUUUAGUUCAUUGUUUUGUAUAUAACGGGCUCCCAACCCUACACUAAUUUAACUGUGAAUGUUUAGCAACUUCGAGUCUUCGAC
rnacentral:lncRNA from 1 species